rnacentral:rRNA from 1 species
UACGUAGGGGGGCAAGCGUUUGUCCGGAAUCAUUGGGCGUAAAGCGCGCGUAGGCGGCCCGGUAAGUCCGCUGUAAAAGUCCAGGGCUCAACCCUGGAAAGCCGGUGGAUACUGUCGGGCUAGAGUCCGGAAGAGGAGUGUGGAAUUCCUGGUGUAGCGGUGAAAUGCGCAGAUAUCAGGAAGAACACCUAUGGCGAAGGCAGCACUCUGGGACGGUACUGACGCUGAGACGCGAAAGCGUGGGGAGCGAACAGG